GCUCAGCUAGGCGCCAAAAUAGACCUCCUCCUCGUCUCAUCUUCUUGGCCGGGAAGAAAGGAAGCGCCGGAGACCAGGCCAUGGUGGCGCCGCUGGAGUUCCUGGAGCCACGCUCGCGGGCCUCUACCAGCGGGGGCUUGGGCACCAGCUCGCCCUCGCCCUCGUCCAGGUAUUUUACUAUAACUGCUAGACGAGUGCGAGUCAUAUAUUCCAGAGACCGCCAUGUGGUGUGCGUGCGGUAGAACUUCACCAGCGAGCCCAUCGGUGUGAGGCCCACUUCAACUGUAAAAGGUGCCCAACACUAGGUGACCGAAAUAGAUCCUCCUCCUCGUCUCGUCUUCUUGGACGACAAGAAAGGAAGAGCCGGAGACCAGCCAAUGCUGCCACUGCUGGAGUUCAUGGAGGACCUCUACCCACGGACGCCCUGGCACCAGCGCACCCUAAACCUCCUGGCCCUCUUCGUCGUCCACGUCCGGCUGACUCGAUCCAUCCCUCCCUAUCCGCCGCCUGUCUGCCAGUUAGUAUCAUGUAGCGGCGACCUCUGAUAUGCUUUUAGAGCCGAGAAGGAGACGCCCUUUUGGCUGCUUGGUUGGUAAUUCGAUUCCAUUUGGCACUCCAUAGGCUUUGUGGAUUCUCAAGGGGGAGAGGCAUGGGCAGUCACUCUCUUUUACUCUUGUUAUUAUCUCUUGAAGCUUCAUUAUUUGUAGUGCAUUCACAAAAAAAUGUUCGUCUCGCAGAGAUUUGUCACACAAUACAUACAUACGGAAAUUCGUAUGCAGUGACCUA